AAGACUGGGAUAACUCCGGGAAACCGGGGCUAAUACCGGAUAAUAUUUUGAACUGCAUAGUUCGAAAUUGAAAGGCGGCUUCGGCUGUCACUUAUGGAUGGACCCGCGUCGCAUUAGCUAGUUGGUGAGGUAACGGCUCACCAAGGCAACGAUGCGUAGCCGACCUGAGAGGGUGAUCGGCCACACUGGGACUGAGACACGGCCCAGACUCCUACGGGAGGCAGCAGUAGGGAAUCUUCCGCAAUGGACGAAAGUCUGACGGAGCAACGCCGCGUGAGUGAUGAAGGCUUUCGGGUCGUAAAACUCUGUUGUUAGGGAAGAACAAGUGCCAGUUGAAUAAGCUGGCACCUUGACGGUACCUAACCAGAAAGCCACGGCUAACUACGUGCCAGCAGCCGCGGUAAUACGUAGGUGGCAAGCGUUAUCCGGAAUUA
rnacentral:rRNA from 1 species